CAUGUAUUCACUUGUUGUACAGCUUUGCUUAGAUUAUUGAAUUGCUGAAUGAUUGCAUUUUUUACUUCUUGCUUAAUUCUGGGAGCAGAUUGCAUUGGUUCAAAUCCUGGCUACCUGAACUUGAGGCAAAACAUUCUACCUUCUUUUUCUCAGAUUCUUCAUCUGAUAACUGGAAGAAAUAAUAGUAUCUGCAUCUGAGUCUUAUUAGGAGGAUCACUGGGACUGGUGCAUACAAAGUGCUCAGGGAAAUGCGUGGCAAAGCAUAAGCACCAAAUAAUUCUAAGCAGUAAAAACUGGCCCUGAUAACCCAAAAGGUCCCUGUCGCUUCAUAGGCUUUGCCAGAUUGCAAGGACCUUGCACUUGCGAGGCAGGCAGCAGAACCACUGAGCUAAAUCCCUGGCCCAAACUGACUUCUUAUAAUGAACCAGACAUUGGGUUAAAUCUGGGGCCUAUGAAGGUAAAUAAGGCAUAUGCUUUGCUUUCAGAGAGCACAUGUUCUUGUUAUGGAUGGUAGUACCAUUAAUAGGCAGGCAAUUAAUUUUUGUUCUAAUUCAUUUUUUCCUGUACCCUUUUUUACAUUGAAACAUUUAAAUCAGCAUUUUGAUCUUAGAUCCUGUUUAAUCUUUUGGG
ensembl:lncRNA